UUACUGUGAAUGAUUGAGGCACUGGUAGGCUUCCAAAUUGCUUUAAAAUUGUAAAUGUAUCAAGAAACCGUUGUGUUCACCUGAUAC